UGGAGGCAGCAGUGGGGAAUAUUGGACAAUGGGGGCAACCCUGAUCCAGCCAUGCCGCGUGAGUGAUGAAGGCCUUCGGGUUGUAAAGCUCUUUUGGCGGGGACGAUGAUGACGGUACCCGCAGAAUAAGCCCCGGCUAACUUCGUGCCAGCAGCCGCGGUAAGACGAAGGGGGCUAGCGUUGUUCGGAAUUACUGGGCGUAAAGCGCGUGUAGGCGGUUGUCCAAGUUGGAUGUGAAAGCCUUGAGCUCAACUCAAGAAAUGCAUUCAGGACUGGAUGACUAGAGGACCGGAGAGGAUAGUGGAAUUCCCAGUGUAGUGGUGAAAUACGUAGAGAUUGGGAAGAACACCAGUGGCGAAGGCGGCUAUCUGGACGGUUUCUGACGCUAAGACGCGAAAGCGUGGGGAGCAAACAGGAUUAGAUACCCUCGU
rnacentral:rRNA from 1 species